rnacentral:rRNA from 1 species
GAACGCGAAGAACCUUACUACGCUUGACAUGUCCGGAACCCCUGAAGAGAUUUGGGGGUGCUCGAAAGAGAGCCGGAACACAGGUGCUGCAUGGCUGUCGUCAGCUCGUGUCGUGAGAUGUUGGGUUAAGUCCCGCAACGAGCGCAACCCUUGUCAUUAGUUGCCAUCAUUUAGUUGGGCACUCUAAUGAGACUGCCGGUGACAAGCCGGAGGAAGGUGGGGAUGACGUCAAGUCCUCAUGGCCCUUAUGACCAGGGCUUCACACGUCAUACAAUGGUCGGUACAGAGGGUAGCCAAGCCGCGAGGUGGAGCCAAUCUCAUAAAACCGAUCGUAGUCCGGAUUGCACUCUGCAACUCGAGUGCAUGAAGUCGGAAUCGCUAGUAAUCGCAGGUCAGCAUACUGCGGUGAAUACGUUCCCGGGUCUUGUACACACC